rnacentral:rRNA from 1 species
ACGGAAGGCAGCAGUGGGGAAUCUUGCACAAUGGACGCAAGCCUGAUGCAGCGAUGCCGCGUGAGGGAAGAAGGUUUUCGGAUUGUAAACCUCUGUUAACAGGGACGAAAAUGCCGGUACCUGUGAAGGAAGCUCCGGCUAACUACGUGCCAGCAGCCGCGGGAAUACGUAGGGAGCAAGCGUUAUCCGGAAUUACUGGGUGUAAAGGGUGUGUAGGCGGGACUGUAAGUCAGAUGUGAAAUAUGCCGGCUCAACUGGCAGACUGCAUUUGAAACUGCGGGUCUUGAGUGAAGUAGAGGUAAGCGGAAUUCCUAGUGUAGCGGUGAAAUGCGUAGAUAUUAGGAGGAACAUCAGUGGCGAAGGCGGCUUACUGGGCUGUAACUGACGCUGAGGCUCGAAAGCGUGGGGAGCAAACAGGAUUAGAUACCCUGGUA